rnacentral:rRNA from 1 species
CAAUAGCGUAUAUUAAAGUUGUUGCGGUUAAAAAGCUCGUAGUUGGAUUUCUGCCGAGGACGACCGGUCCGCCCUCUGGGUGAGCAUCUGGCUCGGCUUGGGCAUCUUCUUGGAGAACGUAGCUGCACUUGACUGUGUGGUGCGGUAUCCAGGACUUUUACUUUGAGGAAAUUAGAGUGUUUCAAGCAGGCACACGCCUUGAAUACGUUAGCAUGGAAUAAUAAGAUAGGACCCCACGUUCUAUUUUGUUGGUUUCUAGAGCUGAGGUAAUGAUUAAUAGGGAUAGUUGGGGGCGAUUCGUAUUUAACUGUCAGAGGUGAAAUUCUUGGAUUAACGGAAGAAAACUAACUGCGAAAGCAUCUGCCAAGGAUGUUUUCAUUGAUCAAGAACGAAAGUUAGGGGAUCGAAGAUGAUCAGAUACCGU